CCAGGAAGCACCGACCUCCCAACCCUUUGUGUCUAAUUUACCUUGUCGUUGCGUCGGCGGACCAGGUUGACCAACUGGUCUUGACCGCCGGGGGGGCUUCCCCCCCCUGGAGAGCGUCCGCCGACGGCCCAACCACAAAACUCUUGUACCAAACCAUGUCGUCUUAAUGUACUUGAUUAAGAAUCAAAAAACAAAACUUUCAACAACGGAUCUCUUGGUUCUGGCAUCGAUGAAGAACGCAGCGAAAUGCGAUAAGUAAUGCGAAUUGCAGAAUUUCCGUGAGUCAUCGAAUCUUUGAACGCACAUUGCGCCCACUGGUAUUCCGGUGGGCAUGCCUGUUCGAGCGUCAUUAUCCUCCCUCAAACCCCGGGUUUGGUGUUGGACCCAAGUUGUGCAUCUGAACAACUGGUCUCAAAGACAAGUGACGGCGUCCGUGGGACCCUCAGGUGCAACGAGCUUUCAGGAGCACGCGUCGAGUUUAAAGGACCUUCCGGGCCGGUCUCCUUUACAUCUUUAUUUACAAGGUUGA
rnacentral:rRNA from 1 species